GUCUACAGCCAUACCACCCUGAACACACCUGAUCUCAUCUGAUCUCAGAAUGUAAGAAGGGUCAGGCCGUCAGGCCUAAUUAUUCCUUGGACAGGAAAUGUAAUUA
rnacentral:rRNA from 1 species